rnacentral:tRNA from 1 species
GCCCGGAUGGUGUAGUUCGGUUAGCAUAAAGCCCUGUCGCGGCUUUGACCCGGGUUCAAAUCCCGGUUCGGGCG